rnacentral:rRNA from 1 species
CCACUCGAGGAGGGGGGUGCGGUCUAUCAGAUAGUUGGUGAGGUAACGGCUCACCAAGUCUAUGACGGAUAGCCGGUCUGAGAUGAUGUCCGGCCGCAAUGGGACUGAGACACGGCCCAUACUCCUACGGGAGGCAGUAGUGGGGAAUCUUGCGCAAUGGGCGAAAGCCUGACGCAGCGAUCCCGCGUGGAGGAAGACACCUUACGGGGCGUAAACUCCUUUUUUGGUGGAAGACGAAAGACGGUACACCAAGAAUAAAGGACGGCUAACUACGUGCCAGCAGCCGCGGUAAUACGUAGGUCCUAAGCGUUAUCCGGAUUUACUGGGCGUAAAGCGUCUGUAGCUGGAAAAAUAAGUCUGUUUUCAAAUACUGUGGCUCAACCAUAGAAAGGGAAUGGAUACUGUCUUUCUAGAGGUUAUUAGAGGUUAGUGGAAUUUCCGGUGGAGCGGUGAAAUGUGUUGAUAUCGGAAGGAACGUCAAAAGCGAAAGCAGCUAACUAUAAUAAACCUGACGGUCAGAGACGAAAGCUUGGGUAGCAAACGGGAUUAGAUACCCCGGUAGUCCAAGCUGUAAAUUAUGCUUGCUAGAUGUUUUCUCCAUUUUGGAGGGAGUGUCGUAAUCUAACGAGUUAAGCAAGCCGCCUGGGUAGUAUAUACGCAAGUAUGAAACUCAAAGGGAUAGGCGGGGGAACACACAAGCAGUGGAUUGUCUAGAUUAAUUGGAUAAUAAGCCAAAAAUCUCACCUAAACUUGACAUGUACUGUGUCCUAUGUGAAAGCAUAGUAGUCCGAGCAAUCGGACACGGUAUACAGGUGGUGCAUGGUCGUCGUCAGCUCGUGCCGCAAGGUGUCUAGUUAGGUCUAGGAACGAGCGCAACCCUCAUCUCUAGUUAGAAUGUCUAGAGAGACUGCUCGGGCAACCGAGAGGAAGGAGAGGAUGACGUCAGAUCCUCAUGCCCCUUACGUUUAGGGCUUCAUAGGCAAUACAAUGGGUGAUACAACGAGAAGCAAUACCGCGAGG